UGAAGAGUGUAUGACUGAAGCACUAGUGAGC
rnacentral:piRNA from 1 species